ACUUUCAUCUCUAGCUCAUGUUUGCUUUCUCUAUUUUACAUUUCAACUUAUAUGUGACCUUACAAUUCAAGAAGUGCCGGUCUAUUAUGAGUGUAUACAUUAAUGUUCGUUAAAAAAAAUUACAUAUAUAAUUGUGAACCUUUUUCAAAAAGUGGUGUUGUUUUGCCUGCUCAUGGACUCCGCAUCAGUCUGAAAGGUUGCCCGAUCUAUGCUUAUUUUUAACUCCCGAAGUAUUUUGAUGACUACCAUACCCUUCCUCUUCUAUGGGUGUUUUGGUAUCCACCGUAGUGUUUACUCGAUCGCUUGAACCUCACUAUUCACUUUUAAGGCUAUUAUAUUCCAUCCUAAGGUGCUGCUAAAUGAAUGGAUCUUAUCAAUCACCAUGAAUGGUAAAUCAAAGAUCGAACUGCUGAAUAAAAAAGCAGGAGAGUGUCUCUGCCACGGUGUGAAACAACAUGGUAGUUAAAAAUCUUAACCACAGAAUUGUAAGUUUUGAGGUUUAAACUUUGAAGAGGGUGUCUUGUGGUAAGUUCAAGUUCAAUAUUUGCAUACUUUGUCAAAUCUCCAUUGCUUUGCGUGUUGUUAAAUACUCCAAUAGAUAUAAGAAUUAGAAGUUUCUUUUGCCUUCCAGUAUACUUAGCAAGUCACAGAUUGAAAAAUAACCUUCUUAUAGAGUAUUAACAUGAUAAACACAGCGUAAAUUUCUCAAAUGGACCCUCAACUUAGCGAAAUUCAUCUGCAAUAAUUUUUGUUUUUUUAUAUAAUUUAAUAUCAACAAAAGCACUUAACUUUAUAGUACCUUGUUUUCUACGGAGUAACUCUAACUGCAAAAGAUAUUUUUUUCACCGGAAAGCUUACUUGAUCAGGACCACGAAGUUAAUUUUUUUUUUCAGUAAACACAGAUUUUUGAGUGUUUUGAAGAAAAGCCUAAUUAGUUCUGAUAAGAGGUAGCUUAAGUUCACGCUUGUAGAUAUGAUAACUGUUAAGCUUUGGAUCCAACAGAGAAACCUUGUUUUCCACGGAAUAACUCUUACUGGAAAAGAUAUUUUUUUCACCGGAAAGCUAACUUUGCAGGGAACCACGAAGACUAACACAGAGUUUUGAGUGUUUUGAAGAUAAGCCUAAUUAAUUCUCAUUAGAAGUUGUUUAGUGUUUUGAAGAUAAACCUAAUUGAUUCUCAUAUGAAGCACUUUACGUUCACACUUGUAGAUGUGAUAACUGUGAAGUUUUUCUCUGUGGAGCCAACACAUCAAGCGGACAAAUUUUCAUUAAAAGUUCAUAAAUUCUACCUCCAUGUACAGGACCACAAUAGACAUAUUUUGUCCAAAAUAUCUUGCUGUACUAACAAAAGAUUGGUAGAAUUAAAUGCGACUAAAAAAGAACUCACAGUACCAUCUUCAACCGUAGAGUAAACAUGAUCAUAAACACUAUAAGUGGUAUUUUUAGUUGGGCACACUCAUUAAGAAAACUGUUCCUUACUAGAAAGUGAGAUGUAUUUUUAUUAACUUAUCCUUAGUAAAUACUAUCUUAUUUUUUUUUAAUAGCUCUUUAUUGUUUCUCGGUUAUUUAAAACUCUCUUUAUUUAAAUAAGAGUAAAAUUGGAAGAACAACAUUAAUGCCUUAUUGAUUAUGUGAAA